CUACGGGUCGCAGCAGUGGGGAAUAUUGGACAAUGGGCGCAAGCCUGAUCCAGCCAUGCCGCGUGUGUGAAGAAGGCCUUCGGGUUGUAAAGCACUUUCAGUUGGGAGGAAAGGUUAGUCGCUAAUAUCGGCUAGCUGUGACGUUACCAACAGAAGAAGCACCGGCUAACUCCGUGCCAGCAGCCGCGGUAAUACGGAGGGUGCAAGCGUUAAUCGGAAUUACUGGGCGUAAAGCGUACGCAGGCGGUUGAUUAAGCGAGAUGUGAAAGCCCCGGGCUCAACCUGGGAACUGCAUUUCGAACUGGUCAACUAGAGUGUGAUAGAGGGUGGUAGAAUUUCAGGUGUAGCGGUGAAGUGCGUAGAGAUCUGAAGGAAUACCGAUGGCGAAGGCAGCCACCUGGGUCAACACUGACGCUCAUGUACGAAAGCGUGGGGAGCAAACAGGAUUAGAUACCCGAGUAGUC
rnacentral:rRNA from 1 species